GUUAGUAUUCGUGAUUCCUUAUUUUACUAUUAUACUUGUAUCUGCAUGAGGAGUCUUAUACCCUUUGUUGAUGGUCCUUAUAACCGAAUCUAAAUGUCAACUCCUAUAAAGAACAGUGAAAAAACAAACACCAAACUAAGAUAGGGGUUUAAUCCUAAACAUUUCCAAGAGCUUUGGUGAAUCUCUAUUAUAGGAGAUCAUAUCUACAUAUGCGGAUAAAGUGUGCUCAAACUAAGAA
rnacentral:lncRNA from 1 species